GGCGGGCGGCCCUCCCCGAGCCUCGCUGCCGCCUUGCAGUUUGAUCUCAGACUGCUGUGCUAGCAAUCAGCGAGACUCCGUGGGCGUAGGACCCUCCGAGCCAGGUGUGGGAUAUAAUCUCGUGGUGCACCGUUUUUCAAGCCCGUCGGAAAAGCGCAGUAUUCGGGUGGGAGUGACCCGAUUUUCCAGGUGCCGUCCGUCACCCCUUUCUUUGACUCAGAAAGGGAACUCCCUGACCCCUUGCGCUUCUCGAGUGAGGCAGUGCCUCGCCCUGCUUCGGCUCCCGCACAGUGCGCGCACACACUGGCCUGCGCCCACUGUCUGGCACUCCCUAGUGAGAGAAACCCGGUACCUCAGAUGGAAAUGCAGAAAUCACCCAUCUUCUGCGUCGCUCACGCUGGGAGCUGUAGACCAGAGCUGUUCCUAUUCGGCCAUCUUGGCUCCUCCUCCUAUAUUUACUCUUUUACCCCACGGAACUUGAAUGCCAACAGCUCUUCAUCGAUUCACAUUAAAGAAAAUUAGAAGGAGGAGGAGGAGAAAAGAAAGCCCUGUCACCAAGUUUAUUAUUCCCAGGGUGGUCAGCUUUCUAUUUAAGGGAAUAUGCCCAAAUUUCAGAACUGGUUUAGUUUAUGAUCUGAAAAACAUAGGCAAUUAUUCACUUGCCUCUUACAUAUUUGUGUGUCUGGCUGUGACUUUCAAUGGAGGGCAAUAAAAAGGAAUCAUUAAGAAGCCUAGUCUAGAUGAUGUGUUUUCUCUCUCUGAAGAAGAAGAGAGAUGGCUUUUGCCUAAGUACCCCAAAUUAAAUACAUAAGCUUUCUACAUGGAAGCCUAAAUAGCUUAUUGAAUUAAAAAAGAAAUCUUAGAGCUUUACAGUAAAAACACUCUUUUUCCCAUUUCUGGAAAAAUUAUGUUAGUAAAAAUUAUUUGGCCAUAAUCUCUCAGACUGUGCAAUUUUAAUGUAGUGAAUAGAAAAUUAAAUACAAUUUUCCACUGCAACUGGCUUUGACACUGAAUAAGACAUGUCACCAUAUGUACUGAAGA
rnacentral:lncRNA from 1 species